GCGGUAAUACGUAGGUGGCAAGCGUUGUCCGGAAUUAUUGGGCGUAAAGGGCUCGCAGGCGGUUUCUUAAGUCUGAUGUGAAAGCCCCCGGCUCAACCGGGGAGGGUCAUUGGAAACUGGGGAACUUGAGUGCAGAAGAGGAGAGUGGAAUUCCACGUGUAGCGGUGAAAUGCGUAGAGAUGUGGAGGAACACCAGUGGCGAAGGCGACUCUCUGGUCUGUAACUGACGCUGAGGAGCGAAAGCGUGGGGAGCGAACAGGAUUAGAUACCCUGGUAGUCCACGCCGUAAACGAUGAGUGCUAAGUGUUAGGGGGUUUCCGCCCCUUAGUGCUGCAGCUAACGCAUUAAGCACUCCGCCUGGGGAGUACGGUCGCAAGACUGAAACUCAAAGGAAUUGACGGGGGCCCGCACAAGCGGUGGAGCAUGUGGUUUAAUUCGAAGCAACGCGAAGAACCUUACCAGGUCUUGACAUCCUCUGACAAUCCUAGAGAUAGGACGUCCCCUUCGGGGGCAGAGUGACAGGUGGUGCAUGGUUGUCGUCAGCUCGUGUCGUGAGAUGUUGGGUUAAGUCCCGCAACGAGCGCAACCCUUGAUCUUAGUUGCCAGCAUUCAGUUGGGCACUCUAAGGUGACUGCCGGUGACAAACCGGAGGAAGGUGGGGAUGACGUCAAAUCAUCAUGCCCCUUAUGACCUGGGCUACACACGUGCUACAAUGGACAGAACAAAGGGCAGCGAAACCGCGAGGUUAAGCCAAUCCCACAAAUCUGUUCUCAGUUCGGAUCGCAGUCUGCAACUCGACUGCGUGAAGCUGGAAUCGCUAGUAAUCGCGGAU
rnacentral:rRNA from 1 species